rnacentral:tRNA from 1 species
GCCUCAGUGGCCUAGUCGGUUAAGGUGUCAGCAUAGAUAGCAGAAGGUCCCGGGUUCGAUUCCUGGUUGGGGCA